rnacentral:rRNA from 1 species
CCUACGGGCGACAGCAGUGGGGGAUAUUGCACAAUGGGGGAAACCCUGAUGCAGCGACGCCGCGUGGGUGAAGAAGCGCCUCGGCGCGUAAAGCCCUGUCAGCAGGGAAGAAAAUGACGGUACCUGAAGAAGAAGCCCCGGCUAACUACGUGCCAGCAGCCGCGGUAAUACGUAGGGGGCAAGCGUUAUCCGGAUUUACUGGGUGUAAAGGGGGCGCAGACGGCGAUGCAAGCCAGGAGUGAAAGCCCGGGGCCCAACCCCGGGACUGCUCUUGGAACUGCGUGGCUAGAGUGCAGGAGGGGCAGGCGGAAUUCCUGGUGUAGCGGUGAAAUGCGUAGAUAUCAGGAGGAACACCGGUGGCGAAGGCGGCCUGCUGGACCGCAACUGACGUUGAGGCCCGAAAGCGUGGGGAGCAAACAGGAUUAGAUACCCCAGUAGUC